AUGGAUAGUCAUGACAGCAAUAUAGACUUUGAGACAGAAGAACAUAUCAGUUCUACACCUCCAAUUUCUAAUAAUGCUGGUUUGUUGCCUCAAAAACGUAAAAACCGGUCAGAAGCAUGGAAUCAUUUUACACCAAUGCCACCGAACUCAGAAAUGUCAAAGUCAACAAAAUGCAAGCAUUGUGGCUCCUUGAUCAAGUAUAAUGGAUGA